rnacentral:lncRNA from 1 species
AUGAAUCUGCAGAAGACGACGUGGCGUCCGCCUGGCCCUGGGCUACCGUGGCCCCGGGGCCAGCAGGGGGCAGCCUGCACCCCGAGCCCGUGCACCGGGCAGGGUCACCGCGAGCGCGCAGCUCCGGGCCUCCGGACAGCGCGGCACUCACUGCGGCCGCUCCCGCACCUCUGCGCAGGCGCGGCCCGGAGGGGGCGGGGCAGCACCGCGGCCACGCCCCCUGGGCCCUGGCCACGCCCACCCCUCCAAGAGGGCGCCGGCGCGACCCGGGCCUGGCUUCCUCCUGGAAGGCUCCCGGGGUGCGGACGAGAGGCCCGCGGGACACGUCCGGGGCGUCCGCCAUCCCGUUCCUCUCGCCCAGGCCCGGGGGGCAGAGGCUCACCGCGUCCCCCGGAACCUGAAGCUCCUCCGCCCUCCGCCGUCGCCAGCAGCCCGGCACCACGGUUGCCAUGCGGCCCCAGGCCCGAGUCCGCGGGCCUCUCAUCCCCGCCGGCCGCAGGCCGCCAGCCCCAGCCGCGGUGGCCACGCCUCCUUCCCCCCACGUGUCCCGGGGGAGCCAAUGAGAGACGGGGGGCGGGGCGAAGGCCGCUGGGCCUGGCGCCGAGGGCAGCAGCCGGCGGAGCGGACUCCGGAGUCUUCUGGGCAAAACGGGGCUUCUGCCCCAGGCCAUCACUCCGCGCAGGGCCGGCCUGUCAACUCUCCGACCACUGACUCGCCGUGGCUCUCCGAAGAACCGACUCCUUCGGCGUCCCGCCACGCCUGCACUCCGAGCGUCGGACCGGCUGGGGGAGCUCCCGCCCCCUCGCUCUCGUGAUUGGCCGUGGCGCGCCGUCCGCAGCCGUCUUCCGGUGGUUGGUGGUUGAUGGAUGGCGCAGCGAGCCAAUCGGCGCCGGCGAGCCGGCUGGGGAGCGGAUUUCUGGGAGUUGUAGUCCCAGAGAGGCGGCCCCGGGAUCUCCGGGUAGGUGUUGCCCUGGGCCGGGGCUUGUGUGCAGGCUGCAGGGCGGUGCAGCAGCUGGGCUGGGCUGGGCGGGGCGGGCGGUGCAGCGGGGCUGCGGAGGGCUGGGCCCCAGGACGGAGUGGUGGGCUUGAAGGGACGGGAGGCGUGGGCGCGGCGUUCUCCAGCCCGAGCAUCAGCAUCGCGGAGCUGCUGCAGCCUUCCUGCCGCUAGGAGGGCGGCGGCUCGGAAAGCCCCGAGGCCCUAACGCCCUGAGCUUCUGAACCAACCCACAGCUGAGUGCCUACCAGCCUGCAGACUUCUGGCUGUGUUUCUGCUGUUUGAGUCGCUGCAAGCGGAGGUGUCUUGUGAUGCUCAGCCCUGGUCCCAGCCAUUCUGGAGAAACGGGUGACGCCCCCUCCACUGGGCUACAGGCUGCAGGAUCUGCGGGGAGUUCGGCAGCUCAUCGACCACAGUGUGCUCCCUUGUGAAAGGUGGUGAUGAGUCAGGAUGUUACAAGGCCGAGGUCCAUACACACGGAGAACUUAGAACCGCACAAAAUACUCAGCAAAUGGUGUGUCACUCCUACUAGUUCUCCUUCUCCAAAACUGCUACCAGCUGACAGCCUCACAUCAAAACACUGGGGCUUUCCCCUUAGGAAGAAGCUGCCGCAAUGGCCCCCCUGGGUAAGUCGGCCUUGGGUAAGCAGGUGCCGUGGAUGAUUUUUUUCUUUAACACUGAGCACAGGAAUAGAUCUAAUGGGUUGCAAUUUGGUGUAAUACACUAUGUACCAAACAUCAAUCAUUUGGGUGCCAAUUACAAGAUGUCUACAAAACUCUGCUAUUCCUUGGUGUAUUUAUUUAAAUUAAUAUCGUAAAUUUUUUUAAGCUAAAUACAAAACAUCUGUUAAAUGAUGUUUAUGGUGCUCAUUAUUUUCAUAUAUUAAAACAGACAUUAACUAUUAGGGGAAAAAAACGAAAAUCCUCAUGACAUCGGAGUCAUGCAUAUGACUAAAAGAAUCAACGGCAACAAAUAUAGACAACUUGGACUAGAUCAAAAUUACACACUUUUGUGCAUCAAAGGACACUAACAGCAGCGAUAAGGCAACCCACAAAAUGGAUUGAAUAUUUGCAAAUCGUGUCUCUGAUAAGGAGUUAGUAGCUAGAAUACAAAAAGAACACCUACAAUUCAACAUCAGAGAAACACACAACCUGAUUAAAAAAUGGGCAAAGGGCUUGCAUAGAUGUCUCUCGAAAGAUGAUACACAAUGGCCAAACGCCACAUGAAGAGACGCACAACAUCAACUAUUCCUCGGGUAAAUGCAAAUCAAGACCACAACGAGAUACCACCUCACACCCAUUAGGAGGCCUAUCCUAAAAACACAAGUGUUGGGCAGCCCAGGUGACCCAGCAGUUUAGCGCUGCCUUCAGCCCAGGGCGUGAUCCUGGAGACCCGGAAUCAAGUCCCACGUCCAGCUCCCUGCAUGGAGCCUGCUUCUUCCUCUGCCUGUGUCUGUGCACCUCUCUCUCUGUGUCUCUCAUGAAUAAAUAAAUAAAAUCUUAAAAAAAAAACACAAGUGUUGGCUAAAAUGUGGAGAAGUUAGAACCCUUGACCAUUGCUGCUGAGAAUGCAAAAUAGUGCGCCUUUAUUAAAAGCAGUAUGGCGAAGUCGGAGAAAGGCGAAUACCAUAUGAUUUCACUCAUAUGUGGAACUUAAAACAGAUGAACAUAGGGGAAGAGGAAAAAAAGAGGGAAACAAAGCAUGAGAGACUCAGCGAUAGAGAAGAAAGUGAGGGCUGAUGGAGGAGGGGGAUGGCUAGAUGUGUGAUGGGUGUGAAGGAGGCACUUGUGACGAGCACUGGGUGUUGUAUGAAAGUGAUAACUGGCUGAAUUCUACUCCUGAAACCAAUAUUGUACUAUAUGCUAACUAACUAGAAUUUAAAUUAAAACUUGAAAACUUAUGGGACACCUAGAGGCUCAGUGGUUGAGCAUCUGCCUUCGGCUCAGGGCGUGAUCCUAGGAUCCAGGAUCGAGUCCCACAUCGGGCUCCCUGCAUGGAGCCUGCUUCUCCCUCUGCCUGUGUCUCUGCCUCUCUCUCUCUGUCCCUCAUGAAUAAAUAAAUAAAAUCUUUAAAAAUAAAUUAAAAAAUAAAACUUGAAAACUUAAAAAAAAACAGUAUGGGUUUUUCUCAAAAAAAUUAAGAAUAAAACUAUGAUCCUGCAGUUCCACUUGUGUAUAUAACACAAAACAGGGGGCUCGAACACCUGUGAUCACAGCAGGACUAGACACAGGAGCCAAAGGUAGGAAGAACCCAGGUGUCCAUAGAUAGAUGAAUAGAUAAGUAAGAUGUGCUCCAUCCAUACAAUGGGAUAUUAUUUAGCCUCUGACAGCUGCUCCAACCCUGGAACCUGUUCCACUCAACGAAAUAAGCCAGUCACCAGACAAAGUGUAAUUCUACUUAGAUGAAGUACUGGAAUGAUCAAACUUGCAGAGGCAGAUGGAUGGUGGUUCCCAGGGGCUGGGAGUGGGGAGUUAGGGUAAAUGCUUGCAGACUUCCCGUUUAAGAAGAUAUGAAGAAUUCCAGACAUGGAUGGUGGUGAUGGUCACUUAAUGCCACUGAACUGUACACUUAAAAAUAUUUAAAAUGAUGACUUUUGUUAUGUACAUUGAGUUCCAAUUCCACCCUGCUCAUCUCCCACUGCCAGGCAUUCCCUGGGUAUAAAAUUGAGAUGCUAAUAGUGGUGCCUACCUCAAUGGGGUACUGGGAGUUUUAUUUUCUUUUUAAAGAUUUUAUUUAUUGGGACACCUGGGCGGCUCAGUGGUUGAGUGUCUGCCUUUGGCUCAGGGCAUGACCACCAGGAUCCUGGGAUCGAGUCCCACAUUGGGCUCCCUGUGUGGAGCCUGCUUCUCCCUCUGCCUGUGUCUCUGCCUCUCUCUGUGUGUGUCUCUCAUGAAUAAUAAAUAAAACCUUUCUAAAAAAGAUUUUAUUUAUUUGAGAGAGAGAAAGAGAGCAUGAGUAGGGGGAGGGGCAGAGGGAGAAGAUGACUCCUGGAUGAGCAGGGAGCCUGAUCUGAGGCUCCAUUCCAGGACUCUAGAUCGUGACCUGAGCUGAAGGCAGACACUUAACCCAUUGAACUGCCUAGGCACAGUGAGUUACUGUGAGGUACUGUCUGCAGAGUGUCAAGCAUGAUGUGCAGUACAUGAUCAGCUCACAAUUCACCGCAGCUGCCCGGCCACCUCUAGUCUGUCCCCAUCUGAGCACUGGAAGUUUCUGGAGGUUUGGUUUAUUUAUGGCUGCAAAACCUAACUAGUGAUGUGCACCGGGGCAAGUGUUCAUUUCUGAGCCUCCAUUUCCCCAUGUGUAAAGUAGGAAUAAAAUAGCUUGAUCCUAUCCAUUGCCUUCUAGGAAAGAGGGAGCUUCAAGGAGUGGCUGCAGAUUACCUUGAAAAAUAUGCUCAAGGGGCGCCUAGGUGGCUCAGUAAGUUAGACAUCCGACUCUUGGUUUCAGUUCAGGUCAUGAACUCAGGGUCAUGGGAUAGAGCCCUGCAUCAGGCUCUGUGCUGGGCAUGGAGUCUGCUUGAGAUUCACUCUCUCCCUCACGCCCCUCUCCCCCCCCCCCCCCCCCCGCUCACACACUCACUCUCACUCACUCUCAAACUAUAUAAAGAAAAUAUAUAAAGACAGACAGACAUGCCUAGCCUGGCCAAGAGAGGUCUGUGUGUGUGUUGUAGGGAGGGGGUUGAGUAACAGUUUUGUUCCGCUGCUGCAAAGCUGUGCCUGUUUUUCCAUGGAUUUAAUCGUCCCCCCUUUCAAAGUGCCUCCAAUGACCUCUUUUAAAAAUUACUACCUCUGCUCAUCUUGCUGGGAGGUAAAAGAGGCGGUGCACGUAAAGCAUCUAGCACAGAGACUGGCACAUAGUAGGUAUUUAAUAAAUGCCCUCUCUUUUCCAUAUUUCUGUCUUGUUAAAAGAAAUACCUGGCACUUUCUUGGGCACUGGUAUAGGGUUAUAUUUUUUUCUUUGAAAUCCACUGUUUUUAGGUAUUAGUAUAACAAUAGCAGUCAUCAUCUUUGUCUGGAAACACUUCCCCCUAAUCCGCAAAGGCUCACUUCUUGUUCAGACAGUGGCUGAACUGUCCCCCCUCAGAGGGGCCGCACCACCCCCUGGCCUAAAGCAGCCGCCCUGCCUGCAGGCUGUCCCACCGCCUGCCUACACCUGAUGUCCU